GGCGAGCAGCCGGCGCUUGCAGCAGCCGGUGGCAGCGCGUUGUCUCCUCCCUUGGGCUCCCGGCGUUACGAUCGGUGCCCUGGCCCCCGAGGAAACGGAACAGAUUUCUUCGGUGCGCUCCGACCUGGUCGGGCAGCGCAGGCGGCAAACCCCGAGGCGCGGAGCGCGGCCCUGCUCGUUCUUCAGCCCGGUGGGAAGGGCCCAACACUGUGGCAAGAACUCUCUUGUGCCGAUUUAAGCUCUUGCCUCCGCACCAAGCAGCGGUGGCAGCAGCUGCUAACUCAGAAAAUAUCUACGUGCACAAGACAGGUACUCCCUGGCAAAAUAUAAAAGCUACUGCAGCAACCACAUCUCAGCGAGGAGGGGGGAGCAUCUGACUGCGUUCCCAUUGUCAGACGAGUCUCCAGACAGUGUCACAAUCAGGACACCGCUGAGCUGGGAGGGACCGAGGUGUGUACGGCCAGUUACCGCAGAACAGCUGGUCAGUGACUUGUCACUCCACAUCAGCUGAAUGACUUUCCAUUGUACGACAAUACCCUGGGCGUUGUCUGUCUGCACUUUUUUUUUUACACUAUUUUAGCUAAGCAGCUAUGGAACUUUCUGACUACAACCCCGAUAGCUAUAUAUGGAGGUGUUACUGCCGUCCUUUUACUUGUCAAUUCUCAGCUUAUGUAGCGAAGAACUUUGCUCAUACUCUGAACUUCAGCAUUGCGUAAGGAGAUGAUGAACCACCGUCCUCUCAAGGAUUCUCUUCUCUAGGAGAGGCCCACAGCUUAGGAGAUCUUAAUAAGAACGGCUACACUGGCUCACACCAAGGUAAUCGGAGCACUACUUCUGGUGGCAAGCUGGGAACAGCAGCAGAGCAGGAGACUGACUGUAUUUUCCCCGGUACCAAUUUGAGUUUUCAGCAACCUGCAUCAUCUGGACUUCCCGAGCCAGAGGGGAGUCUUUACAUCCAAUCAUAUCCAAUGGGUUUUUCUUACAUGAAUUUGCCCGGCCAUCUUCUGAGCCCACUGAGAUUUUGGCAUCCACGGGGCAAGGAAUGCCAUGGUUUAGUUGUGUUGUAUGACAGACGUACUUAAUUUUGUUUGGUUUAGAACUUCUCCCCUGGUGUUCGCCAGCUCUUAUUAAGAAUCAAUCACUCCUCAUUCUCUGUUACCAUCUCUAUAGCAUUCACAAGUCUAGAGACAUGUUUCUUACCACUCCCUACCUUUUUAAUUGCCUUUUGCUGUAGAAUAUCCGGAGAGGCACAAGGACUUAAAGGCAAGAUUGCUCUGAAAAUUUUCACACUUUUGCCUACAAAGGGUGCAACAAAUAUCCACGGUGUGCAAGUUCUUAGUCUUUAAAAUAGGGUAGAGAUCCAAAGCUCUGCAGGUAUCUAACACAGAAUGGAGAUAUCCUGUCUUUCCACUAAUUAAUACCUUUGCAGAAGGUACGAAGAAGAGGAAACAACUAAAAUGGCUACGUUAACACCAGUGGUUAUUCAUCUGCUGAGGUGAGCGGCCAUUCAACUUUAAAAGAGACACCUUUGGGUUUUGUGGAGCCCAAAAACUUGGUCUUGCUUCUGGAUGGGGGGGUCGCUCCUAUUUGAUGUCUGCAGCAGGCAGCUGUUUCCUAUUUUGCAUUUGGAAGUGACACAUCCCUUACAGAAACGCUGCUCCUGUUAAAAAGCCACCGAUGUAAUUUGAGCCAAGCGUUCCCAAGUUGCAGGAUUAGAGCGAUGGCUCUAGCUUUUAAUGGCAUGUCAUAAUCAGAGAGUUGCACGGAGGCUAAGGGUCACGUUUCAUACCCAGAGCCACUUCUAAUCUCAAAUAUUUAUCUGAAAUUAGAAGCAUCAGGAGAGAAAGUACUGGGGAAGUAACUACAACCUGGAGUUCAUUAAAGCGCUACAAGGAAAGAGGAACUCAUUAGGGAAUAGCUGAAAGUACCCUUAACGAUUCGGAUUGCUGCCACUGUCAGCAUCAAGAGGACGCCUGCAAAUCUGCCAGGAAAUGAACUGCAAACGUCUAGAAGUAAGUUGUAACCAGCCCCAAAACAUGACACAGAACAACAGCUAGUCAUCACAGGAACACGGUUCUGAGAGGUCCUUCCUCCUGUCCGUACCGAUGGCACGUGUCGCUGAUCGUGCUGAGCCCUGGGGACAUUCCAGAGGCUGGUUCCUGCCAGAGCACCCCACAGCACGUUACGUUUGUAUGAAGGGUACAAACGAGCUC